UACGUAGGGUGCAAGCGUUAAUCGGAAUUACUGGGCGUAAAGCGCGCGUAGGCGGCUUUGCAAGUCAGAGGUGAAAGCCCGGGGCUCAACCCCGGAAUUGCCUUUGAAACUGCAUCGCUAGAACGUCGGAGAGGUGAGUGGAAUUCCGAGUGUAGAGGUGAAAUUCGUAGAUAUUCGGAAGAACACCAGUGGCGAAGGCGACUCACUGGACGACUGUUGACGCUGAGGUGCGAAAGCGUGGGGAGCAAACAGG
rnacentral:rRNA from 1 species